rnacentral:rRNA from 1 species
UACGGAGGUGGCAAGCGUUGCUCGGAAUCACUGGGCGUAAAGGGCGCGUAGGCGGUUUGCACAGUCAGGCGUGAAAUUCCUGGGCUUAACCUGGGGGCUGCGCUUGAUACGUGUGGACUGGAGUGCGGAAGAGGGUCGUGGAAUUCCCAGUGUAGAGGUGAAAUUCGUAGAUAUCAGGAAGAACACCUAUGGCGAAGGCAGCACUCUGGGACGGUACUGACGCUGAGACGCGAAAGCGUGGGGAGCGAACAGG